GACGAACGCUGGCGGCGUGCUUAACACAUGCAAGUCGAACGGAAAGGCCCUGCUUUUGUGGGGUGCUCGAGUGGCGAACGGGUGAGUAACACGUGAGUAACCUGCCCUUGACUUUGGGAUAACUUCAGGAAACUGGGGCUAAUACCGGAUAGGAGCUCCUGCUGCAUGGUGGGGGUUGGAAAGUUUCGGCGGUUGGGGAUAGACUCGCGGCUUAUCAGCUUGUUGGUGGGGUAGUGGCUUACCAAGGCUUUGACGGGUCGCCGGCCUGAGAGGGUGACCGGCCACAAUGGGACUGAGAUACGGCCCAGACUCGUACGGGAGGCAGCGGGGGGGAAUAUUGCACAAUGGGCGGAAGCCUGAUGCAGCAACGCCGCGUGCGGGAUGACGGCCUUCGGGUUGUAAACCGCUUUCGCCUGUGACGAAGCGUGAGUGACGGUAAUGGGUAAAGAAGCACCGGCUAACUACGUG
rnacentral:rRNA from 1 species